AAAACCAAUGCCCUCUGGGCUCCUUGGUGAUUCAUAAUAACUUAACGAAUCGCAUGGCCUUGCGCCGGCGAUGGUUCAUUCAAAUUUCUGCCCUAUCAAUUUUCGAUGGUAGAGUAGUGGUCUACCAUGAUCUUAACGGGUAACGGGGAAUUAGGGUUCUAUUCCGGAGAAGGAGCCUGAGGAACGGCUACUACAUCCAAGGAAGGCAGCAGGCGCGCAAAUUACCCAAUGCUAAUUCAGCGAGGUAGUGACAAUAAAUACUGAUACGGGGCUCUUUCGGGUCUCGUAAUUGGAAUGAGUACAAUCUAAAUCCCUUAACGAGGAACAAUUGGAGGGCAAGUCUGGUGCCAGCAGCCGCGGUAAUUCCAGCUCCAAUAGCGUAUAUUAAGUUGUUGCCGUUAAAAAGCUCGUAGUUGAACCUUGGACCUGGCUGAUCUGUCCUCCUAAUCGAGCGCACGGAUUCGGUCGGGUCUUUCCUUCUGGGGAGCCCUAUGCCCUUCACUGGGUGUAGUGGGGAACCAGGACUUUUAC
rnacentral:rRNA from 1 species